CAUCUCCUCCCCCUAGCAGUUUACCCCCACAAUCUGCUCCUCCAAUAAAUGCAACAUCUCCACCUAUAGCACCAGCACCACUGCCUCAAUCACCUCCUCCAACAAAUAUAACAUUGCCUCCUCCUGCCUCAUCUCCACCUCCACUCACUUCACCAACACCUCCUGUAGAAUCUGCUCCUCCAAUUAGUCCUCCACCUCUUCCUUCGUCGCCUCCAUCUACACCUUCCGGUCCACCUCCAACUUCUAGUCCGCCGCCUAGUUCAUCUCCACCUCCAUCAUCCAGCA
rnacentral:lncRNA from 1 species